CUCCUUCUUUUUUGCGAAUAUAGGGCCCUUCUUCUCCAACGUGCGGCUGACCCGUCCAUUAUCUUCACCUUCGUCCCGAUCGCCUGUGCGUUCUUCAUUGCUGUGGCGACGUGACCUGGUUUGGACGAUGGAUGAUAUUGGCGAAACUGAGGUGAGAGAAGAAUAUAUUACGAUGGUCAGUCAAAUAUUUGAUAGCGAAGAACAAGGUUACAAGCACUACAACAAAUAUGUGAAAGAGAAAGGGUUCAAUGUCAGAUUGGACUAGAAAGAAAAGACGGUUUGUCUGUUCCAAAGAAGGUUACCGUUUGCAGAAGUAUUUUGAAGCAACUGAGCAAAAGAGAGAGACAUGAAGAGUGGUUACAGUUUCUAUUUCCUGCAUGUACGGAGACCUGAAGUUUGGUUUUGCUGUACCGGGCCUUGAAGUUUGGUUACAUGUUCUAUUUCCUGUAAGGAUUGCUUUGUUCUGUAGACAAUAUUGCUUGUGUGUUACUGCGGCUAGUUCAAAAAUAUUGAGUGCAAUUGGCCUUGUGUGCAAUUGGCCUUGUUGCUCUGUUGGUUUUGAUCAUAUUUGUAAUUCAAUUUCUGUAUGCCUGUUGACAACGAAGUGGAUACAGAGAGUGAAGCAAGGGUUUGCGAUUAUGAAA